GCUGUGAGCUCGAUGAGUAGGGCGGGACACGUGGUAUCCUGUCUGAAUAUGGGGGGACCAUCCUCCAAGGCUAAAUACUCCUGACUGACCGAUAGUGAACCAGUACCGUGAGGGAAAGGCGAAAAGAACCCCGGCGAGGGGAGUGAAAAAGAACCUGAAACCGUGUACGUACAAGCAGUGGGAGCACAGGUUUACCUGUGUGACUGCGUACCUUUUGUAUAAUGGGUCAGCGACUUAUAUUCUGUAGCAAGGUUAACCGUAUAGGGGAGCCGGAGGGAAACCGAGUCUUAAUUGGGCGUUAAGUUGCAGGGUAUAGACCCGAAACCCGGUGAUCUAGCCAUGGGCAGGUUGAAGGUUGGGUAACACUAACUGGAGGACCGAACCGACUAAUGUUGAAAAAUUAGCGGAUGACCUGUGGCUGGGGGUGAAAGGCCAAUCAAACCGGGAGAUAGCUGGUUCUCCCCGAAAGCUAUUUAGGUAGCGCCUCGUGAAUUCAUCUCCGGGGGUAGAGCACUGUUUCGGCUAGGGGGCCAUCCCGGCUUACCAACCCGAUGCAAACUGCGAAUACCGGAGAAUGUUAUCACGGGAGACACACGGCGGGUGCUAACGUCCGUCGUGAAGAGGGAAACAACCCAGACCGCCAGCUAAGGUCCCAAAGUCAUGGUUAAGUGGGAAACGAUGUGGGAAGGCCCAGACAGCCAGGAUGUUGGCUUAGAAGCAGCCAUCAUUUAAAGAAAGCGUAAUAGCUCACUGGUCGAGUCGGCCUGCGCGGAAGAUGUAACGGGGCUAAACCAUGCACCGAAGCUGCGGCAGCGAACGUAUCACCCAAGACAACUUUACGGAGUUGACGAUUGACGGAGCGAAGCGACGUCAAAGCGUUCAUUAAAGUCGAGUUGGCUUAGGGAUACGUUCGUUGGGUAGGGGAGCGUUCUGUAAGCCUGCGAAGGUGGCCUGUGAGGGUUGCUGGAGGUAUCAGAAGUGCGAAUGCUGACAUAAGUAACGAUAAAGCGGGUGAAAAGCCCGCUCGCCGGAAGACCAAGGGUUCCUGUCCAACGUUAAUCGGGGCAGGGUGAGUCGACCCCUAAGGCGAGGCCGAAAGGCGUAGUCGAUGGGAAACGGGUUAAUAUUCCCGUACUUGGUGUUACUGCGAAGGGGGGACGGAGAAGGCUAUGUUGGCCGGGCGACGGUUGUCCCGGUUUAAGCGUGUAGGUGUGUGUUCCAGGUAAAUCCGGUUCACUUUAACACUGAGGCGUGACGACGAGGCACUACGGUGCUGAAGCAACAAAUGCCCUGCUUCCAGGAAAAGCCUCUAAGCAUCAGGUAACAUCAAAUCGUACCCCAAACCGACACAGGUGGUCAGGUAGAGAAUACCAAGGCGCUUGAGAGAACUCGGGUGAAGGAACUAGGCAAAAUGGUGCCGUAACUUCGGGAGAAGGCACGCUGACACGUAGGUGAAGUGAUUUACUCACGGAGCUGAAGUCAGUCGAAGAUACCAGCUGGCUGCAACUGUUUAUUAAAAACACAGCACUGUGCAAACACGAAAGUGGACGUAUACGGUGUGACGCCUGCCCGGUGCCGGAAGGUUAAUUGAUGGGGUCAGCGCAAGCGAAGCUCCUGAUCGAAGCCCCGGUAAACGGCGGCCGUAACUAUAACGGUCCUAAGGUAGCGAAAUUCCUUGUCGGGUAAGUUCCGACCUGCACGAAUGGCGUAAUGAUGGCCAGGCUGUCUCCACCCGAGACUCAGUGAAAUUGAACUCGCUGUGAAGAUGCAGUGUACCCGCGGCAAGACGGAAAGACCCCGUGAACCUUUACUAUAGCUUGACACUGAACAUUGAGCCUUGAUGUGUAG
rnacentral:rRNA from 1 species